AACGCGAAGAACCUUACCUGGGCUUGAAAGCUAGGAUUAUCCCUGUGAAAGCAGGGUAGGCCCUUCGGGGUACAACUAGUACAGGUGCUGCAUGGCUGUCGUCAGCUCGUGUCGUGAGAUGUCGGGUUAAGUCCCUUAACGAGCGAAACCUUUGCCCUUAGUUACCAUCGGGUUAUGCCGGGGACUCUAAGGGGACUGCCGGUGUCAAACCGGAGGAAGGUGGAGAUGACGUCAAGUCCUCAUGGCCUUUAUGCCCAGGGCCACACACGUGCUACAAUGGGGUGCACAAAGCGAACCAAGAGCGCGAGCUGGAGGAAAUCGCAGAAAUCACCCCCCAGUUCAGAUUGGAGGCUGCAACUCGCCUCCAUGAAGAUGGAAUCGCUAGUAAUCGCGGGUCAGCUACACCGCGGUGAAUGUGUUCCCGGGCCUUGUACACACCCUCGCGA
rnacentral:rRNA from 1 species